AUGAAUCUAAGAGGAUAUGAACACCGAGAUCAUGAAUGGAGUGAGACAGAGUCUCUGUCAUCGUCGAAGAAGGUCGAAGCAAAGGUUAUGGUGAAGACUCAUAUCAAUGGAGUUUCAUCUGAGAUGGAUGUUAAUCAAGGUCGUGAGGUCAUCUUCGGAGUUAGAAGGAUAUACCAUCACGGUUCUGAUAAUAACUCAUGGGCUGGAUAUGAAUUGUUUGGGAUGUUGGAUUAA